AGUAGUUGGCAGAUAUGUGUAUUGUUGUGAGUUUUAUUAAACUGCAGUUAUCCCACUGCUGUCACCGCGGUAAAUGUCAAUAUUCAUGGUUGCCUCAAGCAUUUUCCUGUGAAUAAUAUAUCACACUAAACUUUAUGUCAGAUCAGAUCAUUUGUAAUGAGCAGGUAUUGGGUUUAUCUUACUCAGCUAUACUCAACAAUGGGCUAUAAAAUAGAAAAUCAUGCGUUUAUGUUAUGUUUUUGAUGCCAAUGUAUGGGAGACUCGAUGUGUUGCAACAUCCUGCAAGACAACAGUCAUGUGAUUAACGAAGACAGUCAAAGGUGUCAUAGGCUGGUUUUCUGGAGGUUACUAGCUUGUCUGCUUGGACCGCAAAAGAAGGGAAACUGUGAAGAUGUGCAUAACACAGCUGUCCCUGAAAAAAUAUGAAGAGGAGAUACUACAGGUGAAUAAACAGGGUAAACGUUUAACUAAUGGAUAUAAAACUUCCCCUGUUGAUUACUUGAUUUUAAGGUCCAGUGUGUAACAUUUAGGAGGUUCUAUUGUCAGAAAUGGAAUACAAUAAUCAAAGAUAUGUUUUAAUUGGUGUAUAAUCACCUGAAAAUAAGAAUUCCCUUUUAAUUUUUUUAUAUCUAAAGAGCAGAUGCUGACAGAUGCCACUAUAUCCUACAUACUGUUCCUUUUAACGUUUCCUGUAAUUCUGUGGGGUCUGUGUUUUUAUUUUUUAAAUACUCUUUAUUGAGUUUAAACAAAAAAGCACAAUACACAGUACCCUCUAUCCCAGAGAGCAAUACAGCGUAACCCAAAAAAGGAAAAAGAAAUGUAAAAAAUAGAGAAAUAAUUGAAUAAGAUUAAAUAAUGAUGAUGAUAAUAAUAAUAAUAAUAAUAAUAAUAAUAAUAUAUUUAUAUGUUUGUGUUAAGAAUAUAUGUUAAUUAAUUAUAUAAAAUUAAAUAAAGUUUUGUUUACAGUCCACUAUAUGUAUGUGAGUUUUAGGGUAACCUAGAGGCCAUAUCAUGUGGUGUGUCCCAUAAAUGGGCUUAUGAGACAGGUCUUCCACUGCCCCUUAGAAGUCAGUUUUACAGGUCUGCAGGUAAACAAUGUAGAAUCUAGCGUGAAUUCUGUGUUUAAAUAUGCAAAUGAUGCAUCUAAUUAAAUAUGCACUAAUUUGCAUACAUUUCCAGAACAGAAAUCAGAACAUUGGAUAAAGCCAAACUUAGUUAUGUUUUUCAUUUUGCUGACAUAGAGGGGAUUUUGGAUAGACAAAGUGUAGUAAAAUUGCGUUGUCUUUCUACUAGAAUGAAAGAAGACAUGUUAUGAAAGUAAAGUAGUCCAAUAUCUCAAAAUUUACCAGUUCAUGAAACAACUAUAUUUUUGACUGUAGUGUCUCGUAUUUAAGCUUUCUACAGCAAAGACAACCUGCUGUUAAUCAACCUGUGAGAGAAACAGACUUGAUUAAUUUGUUGAAUAAUCAUGCAAACAUAACUUCCACAAAAUCUAAUUUUCAAAACCACAUAAAAGAUUUUCAGUGUGUUACAGUUAUGUUAUCAUAACAUUUUCCUCAGGUCCUUGGGUCUUUUCCAAUUUCCAACUUCCAAUAAUAAUUUCCUACUGAAAUAUGUCAGUUGAAACGUUUUGUUUUUUUCAGAUAAAAUCUCAUAAAAUACAGUCAACAGUGGUCAGUCAGUAGUCAACAUGCAUUCGAUUAGCUCAGUAAGGGUAGUGCUGGCUCAGUUACCCCCACUGGUCAUGUGACCCUUGUCUUGCAGGUUCCAGUGGUUCGUUGAGUCUCCCAUGACAAUAUUGGACCAGGACUAAGCAUUGACUGACCCUACAAUUCGUAAAUGACAAUGACUAGAGAUUAAAAAUCUUUCAAAAGAAGCCACAUUAAAGGGGACCUAUUAUGCACAACCAACUUUUUAAUCGUUUGAUUAUGUACAUUUGGGAAUCUGGAGGGCCUAUCAGCAGGCAAAGUGUGAAAAAAGAUGACUCAGUCAUGUUUUUGUGGGCUGCCACAGUCAAAAUACAGGAGAUAAAGCACUGAAUUUCAGAUUUUCACUAUUUUUGACGUCCUUUCUGGGGGUUCAUUAGCAUAUUCCAACCUUUCACCUGCAUGUUGCCACCCACCUCAGUUUACUUCCUUGUUGACUAGUGGAGCUCCACCAUUGUCACUAUAAAAGAGCAAGCUAGCAGAGAACAAGCAAGCGAGCCCAGCCAGCAGCCUGCCAGCCUAAUGUCUGGGCAAAGGCUUCAGCAGGCAAACUGUUCAGUCAUUGGCUGCACAGCCCAACGCAAAUCUCUACAUAUGUAUGAGCACAGUGGAUCUAUUUUUAUUUUUGAUGGCAAUGUCCAGCUAGAGUCGGAAAACCUGACUGUGUGUGUGUGAACCUUCGUGUCGGACUGUUUUCACAACCUCGGUCAGUACAACACUGGACUGGCUGAAAGACUGUUCCUGAAAGAGGGAUUGUACCAACUGUCUGUGGAGAGACGGCAGAGGAAGUAACUGUGACCUGAUGAAGCUCAGGUGUUCCUGGACCCGAUCAGAGGACAGAGACAGCUGCAGCAUCAGGACAGUCUGGGUAUCCAAAGGAAGACGCUUCAAGAUGAACACUGACUGCAGAGCUCCAUUACCAGCUCACACUUCAGUAUACUAGAAACUAUAUACCUUGAUGGAGGACACAAUCUGCACAGUUUACAUAAAAGUUUAGCUUUGUUACUGUAAUAUGUAACUGGAAUAUGAAUGAAACAUAAAUAAAGUGUUUCAUUUUUAAGAA